UACGGGGGGAGCAAGCGUUGUUCGGAUUUACUGGGCGUAAAGGGCGUGUAGGCGGCCAGCACAAGUCAGUUGUGAAAUCUCCGAGCUUAACUCGGAAAGGUCAACUGAUACUGUGCGGCUAGAGUGCGGAAGGGGCAACUGGAAUUCUCGGUGUAGCGGUGAAAUGCGUAGAUAUCGAGAGGAACACCUGCGGCGAAGGCGGGUUGCUGGGCUGAUACUGACGCUGAGGCGCGAAAGCCAGGGGAGCGAACGGG
rnacentral:rRNA from 1 species